rnacentral:rRNA from 1 species
CCUACGGGAGGCAGCAGUCGAGAAUCUUCGGCAAUGGGCGCAAGCCUGACCGAGCGACGCCGCGUGGAGGACGAAGGCCUUCGGGUUGUAAACUCCUGUCGAGGGGGAAGAAGGCCCCGGGAGGGGCUUGACUGAUCCCUGGAGGAACCGCGGGCUAAGUUCGUGCCAGAAACAGCAGUAAAACAGAGGACCCAUUGGUUGUCCGGAUUGACUGGGCGUAAAGCGCACGCAGGGGGUUGUGCACGUGGGGUGUGAAAACUGGCGACUUAACUGCCUAAGGCCACCUCAUACGGCGCGACUCGAGCCAUGCAUAGGUCCACGGAAUUGCCGGUGUAUAGGUGAAAUGCGGAAAGAUCGGCGGGAACACCCAGGGGGAAACCUGUGGACUGGGCAUGUGCUGACGCUCAGGUGCGAAAGCGUGAUUAGCGAACGGGAUUAGAUACCCCGGUAGUCAUGACCAUUCACGAUGGGCACUGGGAAUGGGGCUCGCCGAUGGCCUCCCUGCCCAAGGGAAACCUUGAACCGGCCAACCUGGAGAGUAUGGUUACAAGGCUGAAGAUUUGACGAAUUGACGGGGGCUCACACGAGCGGGGGAUUAUGUUGCUUAAUUCGAGGCUACCCUUACCAACUUUUGACAUGCUUGACAUGCCCGGAUUAAGCGGGUCAAACUUCGGGGAGCUCGACAGAUGCUGCAUGCAUGUGUGCUGCUUGGCUGGCGUCAUGUCGGGCUAAGAGGCGUUGCGAUCACAAUCCCAACGAGCAAAUACUCUAGGAACUCUAGACUGACCGCCAGCCUUCAAUCCGUCUUACGGCUGGGAUGACACACAGUCCUCAGGGCCCUUAUCCCUGGGGCUGUACACG